rnacentral:lncRNA from 1 species
CUCCUGCAUAGCAUUUUUCCAUUCUUCAUAUUUUCUGCCUCCUCAAAUGUAGAAGGUUCAAGCUUCAUGAAAUUACAAUUUUCAUAGAUGUCAGACAACAACCUUAUUUUCUGCUUUGAUGAUUCACUUAAAGCUUCAGAAUUGGGAUCUUCAUCUUCAUUAUUAGCUAAAGCUGGUUCAGGUACUUCGGCAGAGUGAACUAAUGGCCCUUCAAGUUCAUCUUUCUCAAUUCUUUUAAGCUCCCAAUUCCAAUGUGAAUUUUCAUCAAAAAUUACAUCUCUACAUACUUGCACUUUUUGAGUGGUCAAAUUGUACACUCUAUAAUCUUUAGA